CUGGAGUCGCUGAGCUGGUUCGGUCGGUAAGUCCCUUGGUACGCUCAGGUUAGCCUGUCAGGGUGAAGGUAGUGGAUUUUUCUUAUGAAGCGUCUUCCUUCGGCACCCUAGGAUUUUAAGUCUAGUUAUAACUUUCCUUUCACAUGUAGCUGGGCCCCUUGACCUUUCUCGCGGAGAGUCUUACGCUCGUUCUCUAUCUCGUUCCAAGUAUGGUAUUGAACUCGUACCCUGUAGGUCUAGCUACCUGCGCUACGUACCUAAACCUCUUAGUACUUAAUUUUAUUCUAGUGCCAGGCUGGACCAAGCCCUUUUUACCUAGCUUCCCUUGGGUAACGACCUUCUUUUCUUCUCCAACGUAGCUAUGCCUAUGCCCCUUGAAAGCGAUCGCUUCUAGAAUAGAACUCAAAGCCCCGAUGUUUAGUAGAAAGACUUCGGUUUCACAUUGCUAGUUGCGUGUACUUGGAACUUCGAUUGGCUUAGGCGAGCAUGGGCAAUAUCCUAAACUACCUCUCGCGGAUC